rnacentral:tRNA from 1 species
UACAUUUUGGUGUAAGGUGCACAAAAUAAUUUUUGAUAUUUUGAGAUAUAGUUUGAUUCUAUAAAAUGUAA